rnacentral:rRNA from 1 species
CCUACGGGAGGCAGCAGGGGGGAAGAGGGGGCAAGGGAGGCAACUCUGACCCAGCAAAGCCGCGUGAAUGAUGAAGGUCUUCGGAUUGUAAAGUUCUUUUCUAAGGGAAGAAGAAAGUGACGGUACCUUAGGAAUAAGCCUCGGCUAACGACGUGCCAGCCGCCGCGGUAAUACGUAGGAGGCAAGCGUUAUCCCGAAUGACUGGGCGUAAAGGGUGCGUAGGUGGCGUGACAAGUUAGUAGCGCACAGCCGGGGCUCAACCUCGGAACUACUACUAAAACUGUUGGACUUGAGUGCAGGAGAGGCAAUCGGAAUUCCUAGUGUAGCGGUGAAAUGCUUAGAUAUCAUACAGAACACCGAUUGCGAAGGCAGCUUACUAAUCUAUAUCUGACGUUGAGGCACGAAAGCGUGGGGAGCAAACAGGAUUAGAUACCCGUGUAGUC